ensembl:lncRNA
AGUUUGUACUGCCUGUGUAAAGAGGCCUCUGAAACAGGGAAGAGUCACAGAUUCACUGCUGUAAACAAGGCUGAAUAGCCCCCAUCCCACAGAAUCCCUAGCCCAGCAAUGUGGUAGCUUAACCCUCUGUGCUUAUAAGGAGCUGGCAUAAGCCAUGCAAAAGAAAUCAUGCCCUCCCUGCAAUGCCAUUAUUUAUUCAGAAAAGAGAGAGGCCUUGCCAUCUUCCCAUCCCCGUUCAUAACAGGGCUACGUACACCAGAGGAAGUCAGUAUUGCAGCUCGCAGCAGAAAAGAUACUGAAAGCAGCAGGAGCCAGGCAGGGGUGUCAGACUUCAGAGCGGACACUGCCUUGGGACCUGGGGGGGCCAGUAAAUCAGUGCACGCUUGUCAACAGCUCCAAGCUGCAGGAAUUACUCGAGCGAAAAUAACAAAUGGCUGUCAUUGUGGAGCCAAAAACCUGUGAUUAUAAUUAUCACAUCCCCAGUGACCUUGCAUAAACUUUAAUCCCUCUCCAAUGGAGCAUUUAAAUAGCCUGCAUCUACUGGCAGGGGACCGUGUCCCCUUACUUGAAAAUACAGAGGCUGGAAAAGAAACGAGCCACAAAGAAACCACCAAGUCCCUCCGUGUCUUACAGCUUGUAUUAAAGAGUUGUACAAGAAAAGGCCUGUCACUGUCACUUUAAUUGAUAUUAUGUAGUCAUCCUGAAUUCAAAAUGUCAUGGUGGUAUCCAAACAGCAAAGCCCAGCACCAAGCAUUUUAACCAGAUGAAAAGGUCAAACAACACCAAGUUUCCAUCUCUGCAUUCAGUGGGUCACUGGGCUGCGAAAGUGGGUAUACAAGGUGUGUGGAUGGGUUGAGCCAAGAGAUCCUCAGGGGUGUAAUCUCCUUCCACCUCGGAGAGAUUAGCUCACAUUUGCAGGUCCCGCCAUGAUCAAGACUUGAAGGAAUUCUUCAGUUCUUCAGCUUUUCUUAAAGAAUAUUUCCUCUGUUAAAACACAGUAUUUAAAACAUUUGGGUUUUUUUUGUUUGUUUGUUUGUUUGUUUUUUGCUGUUCCUCAGAGAUAGGUUUGGAUGUCUUUGAUUAAGGAAAUAUGGGCCAUUACUUGUUUAUGCCUUCUUCUAGUUCUAUGGGUCACACAGGUUCUUCUAUACUACAUAGACAGGUGCUGCAGAAAACCCUUAAAGAUCAGAUGCUGGGGAAAGGAAAGAAAGGCUUUGAUCCUUAGAGGGAAAAAACACAACAUUAAAUUCACACUAUUUUAUUUAACCAACUCCUCCAAAGCACAUCAGAACUAUAGCAGUUGCAAGAAUUUGCACCUCCUGCACUCAGCAGAUUCUCCCAUGUACAUAUAGAUAACAUGGGUGGUUUUAAAACAAAAGACAUUGCAUACAUGCAUUAACUACGUACAGCAUGACAUUGGCACCAGGAUACCACGUAACAGUUAUUUUUCAAUAUUGCUGCCAGAAGACAACCACAGAUUUAUUUCUGGAAAAUGUUUUGCUGAUUGCAUAGAAUUCAGAUUUCAGAGACAGAUCAUAAUAAUUAUGCAUUCAGACUAGCAGUGAUUUUAACUAAUUCAAAGAUUUUAACUAAUUCAAAGAUUUAAGAACAGAAAAAAUGUAACAGCUAAGACUUAAGAGAAUGUGACACUGAGAGAGGUCAGAAUUUAGGCAUUUAGAACUAAGGAACAGCCUUAGUACAGUUAAACAGCCACAGUGGACUGCAGAUACUUAGAAGCUUUUGCAAUUCAAUAAAACCCCAGUGUGUAUUGUAAAGGCAG